rnacentral:rRNA from 1 species
GUGGGGAAUCUUGCGCAAUGGGCGAAAGCCUGACGCAGCCAUGCCGUGUGAAUGAUGAAGGUCUUAGGAUUGUAAAAUUCUUUCACCGGGGACGAUAAUGACGGUACCCGGAGAAGAAGCUCCGGCUAACUUCGUGCCAGCAGCCGCGGUAAUACGAAGGGGGCUAGCGUUGCUCGGAAUUACUGGGCGUAAAGGGCGCGUAGGCGGACAGCUUAGUCAGAGGUGAAAGCCCAGGGCUCAACCUUGGAAUUGCCUUUGAUACUGGCUGUCUUGAGUUUGGGAGAGGUGAGUGGAACUCCGAGUGUAGAGGUGAAAUUCGUAGAUAUUCGGAAGAACACCAGUGGCGAAGGCGACUCACUGGCCCAAUACUGACGCUGAGGCGCGAAAGCGUGGGGAGCAAACAGGAUUAGAUACCCGGGUAGUCC